rnacentral:rRNA from 1 species
GAGUUUGAUCCUGGCUCAGAACGAACGCUGGCGGCAUGCCUAAUACAUGCAAGUCGAACGAACACUUCGGUGUUAGUGGCGCACGGGUGCGUAACGCGUGGGAAUCUGCCCUUGGGUUCGGAAUAACUUCGGGAAACUGAAGCUAAUACCGGAUGAUGACGUAAGUCCAAAGAUUUAUCGCCCAAGGAUGAGCCCGCGUAGGAUUAGCUAGUUGGUGGGGUAAAGGCCCACCAAGGCGACGAUCCUUAGCUGGUCUGAGAGGAUGAUCAGCCACACUGGGACUGAGACACGGCCCAGACUCCUACGGGAGGCAGCAGUAGGGAAUAUUGGACAAUGGGGGAAACCCUGAUCCAGCAAUGCCGCGUGAGCGAUGAAGGCCUUAGGGUUGUAAAGCUCUUUUACCCGAGAUGAUAAUGACAGUAUCGGGAGAAUAAGCCCCGGCUAACUCCGUG